rnacentral:tRNA from 1 species
GCCCAUGUAGCUCAGGCGGUAGAGCACAUCCAUGGUAAGGAUGGGGUCGCCGGUUCAAAUCCGGCCGUGGGCU